rnacentral:rRNA from 1 species
UACGUAGGGUGCAAGCGUUAAUCGGAAUUACUGGGCGUAAAGCGUGCGCAGGCGGUUGUGCAAGACAGAUGUGAAAUCCCCGGGCUCAACCUGGGAAUUGCAUUUGUGACUGCACGGCUAGAGUGUGUCAGAGGGGGGUAGAAUUCCACGUGUAGCAGUGAAAUGCGUAGAGAUGUGGAGGAAUACCGAUGGCGAAGGCAGCCCCCCUGGGAUAACACUGACGCUCAUGCACGAAAAGCGUGGGGGAGCAAACAGG